CCUACGGGUGGCUGCAGUAAGGAAUAUUGGACAAUGGCGGAGACGCUGAUCCAGCUAUCCCGCGUGCAGGAUGACGGCCCUACGGGUUGUAAACUGCUUUAGACUGGGGCGAAAAAGUGGGAUUUAUCCUACAUUGACGGUACCAGUAAAAUAAGCACCGGCUAACUCCGUUCCAGCAGCCGCGGUAAUACGGAGGGUGCAAGCAUUAUUCGGAAUCACUGGUGCGUAGGCGUGCGUUUAAGUCAGGUUAGAAAGGCCAUGGCUCAACUAUGGGAUUGCUUUUGAUACUGGCGAGCUUGGAUUAGGACGAGGUUGGCGGAAUGUGGCAAGUAGCGGUGAAAUGCAUAGAUAUGCCAUAGAAUACCGAUUGCGAAGGCAGCUGACUAGACCUAUAUUGACGCUGAGGCACGAAAGCGUGGGGAGCGAACAGGAUUAGAUACCCCAGUAGUC
rnacentral:rRNA from 1 species